AAGAAGAAGCCGAGACAGAUAGAAGCCCGCUGGUUUGGGUGUUUAGCUGUUAACUAAAAUUUUACGGGAUCA
rnacentral:tRNA from 1 species